CCUACGGGAGGCAGCAGUCGAGAAUCAUUCACAAUGGGGGAAACCCUGAUGGUGCGACGCCGCGUGGGGGAAUGAAGGUCUUCGGAUUGUAAACCCCUGUCAUGUGGGAGCAAAUUAAAAAGAUAGUACCACAAGAGGAAGAGACGGCUAACUCUGUGCAAGCAGCCGCGGGAAUACAGAGGUCUCAAGCGUUGUUCGGAAUCACUGGGCGUAAAGCGUGCGUAGGCUGUUUCGUAAGUCGUGUGUGAAAGGCGCGGGCUCAACCCGCGGACGGCACAUGAUACUGCGAGACUAGAGUAAUGGAGGGGGAACCGGAAUUCUCGGUGUAGCAGUGAAAUGCGUAGAUAUCGAGAGGAACACUCGUGGCGAAGGCGGGUUCCUGGACAUUAACUGACGCUGAGGCACGAAGGCCAGGGGAGCGAAAGGGAUUAGAUACCCGGGUAGUC
rnacentral:rRNA from 1 species